rnacentral:rRNA from 1 species
GAUGAACGCUGGCGGCGUGCUUAACACAUGCAAGUCGAACGAGAAGUGAAGACGGAAACCUUCGGGCGGAAGGCUUUAUUUCGAGUGGCGGACGGGUGAGUAACGCGUGGGUAACCUGCCUCAUACAGGGGGAUAACAGUUGGAGACGACUGUUAAUACCGCAUAAGACCACAGCACCGCAUGGUGCGGGGGUAAAAACUCCGGUGGUAUGAGAUGGACCCGCGUUCGAUUAGCCAGUUGGCGGGGUAACGGCCCACCAAAGCGACGAUCGAUAGCCGAUCUGAGAGGAUGACCGGCCACAUUGGGACUGAGACACGGCCCAAACUCCUACGGGAGGCAGCAGUGGGGAAUAUUGCACAAUGGGGGAAACCCUGAUGCAGCGACGCCGCGUGAGUGAAGAAGUAUUUCGGUAUGUAAAGCUCUAUCAGCAGGGAAGAAAAUGACGGUACCUGAGUAAGAAGCCCCGGCUAACUACGUG